AACGAACGCUGGCGGCAUGCCUAACACAUGCAAGUCGAACGAGACCUUCGGGUCUAGUGGCGCACGGGUGCGUAACGCGUGGGAACCUGCCUUUAGGUUCGGAAUAACUCAGAGAAAUUUGAGCUAAUACCGGAUGAUGUCUUCGGACCAAAGAUUUAUCGCCUUUAGAUGGGCCCGCGUAAGAUUAGCUAGUUGGUGGGGUAAAGCCUACCAAGGCGACGAUCUUUAGCUGGUCUGAGAGGAUGAUCAGCCACACUGGGACUGAGACACGGCCCAGACUCCUACGGGAGGCAGCAGUGGGGAAUAUUGGACAAUGGGCGGCAAAGCCUGAUCCAGCC
rnacentral:rRNA from 1 species